rnacentral:rRNA from 1 species
GAGGAAUAUUGGGCAAUGGGCGAAAGCCUGACCCAGCAACGCCGCGUGAGGGAUGAAGGCCUUCGGGUUGUAAACCUCUUUUCUGGGAGAAGAGACAAGGACGGUAUCCCAGGAAUAAGUCUCGGCUAACUACGUGCCAGCAGCCGCGGUAAUACGUAGGAGGCAAGCGUUAUCCGGAUUCACUGGGCGUAAAGCGCACGCAGGCGGUCAUGUAAGUCGGACGUGAAAGCUCCUGGCUCAACUGGGAGAGGUCGUUCGAUACUGCAUGGCUUGAGGUUGGGAGAGGGAAGCGGAAUUCCCGGUGUAGUGGUGGAAUGCGUAGAUAUCGGGAGGAACACCAGUGGCGAAAGCGGCUUCCUGGCCCAUACCUGACGCUCAGGUGCGAAAGCGUGGGGAGCGAAC